AUCUUCCUCGUGUGAAAGACAGUUGCAGACGAGUGUCACAGAUAUAUUGCAGAGACUAAGAGAAGCUAAGAGAGUGUUAUACUUAAACCUAGAACCUAAGCCUUGCCGAUCACAGCAUAAUUGGUAAGUUAGCUUAAAUAUACAUCAAAACUGCCACUGUACAUGAUGUCAUAAAAUCAUAGUUUCAAGUAUUUUAACUUUGCAGGGAAUAAGAUGAUCUGAUCCCAAUGGGCCAUAGUGCAACAUCCUUUACACAAACACUGAAAUUAUAGCUUCACUUCAUUUGUCAAAGAGAAACAAAGAAUACCAAACAUCCAAAAGGACAUUCAAACUCAAUACUUGAAAAUAAACUGACCACGUCACGGCUAAAAAGUUGAAAAUAAAUUGACUAUGCCAUGACUAAAAAGUUGAAAAUAAACUGACUUUCAAACUCCAAUGUCAAAAAUAAACUGUCAAGUUGUUCUUUUUUAUAUAAACCUAUAAUAAUUAUUUGUAUGUAUGCAUUUAUAGGACUGUGACACUGUACGUGAGUGGGAAUGAAAAGAGCUAGAAUAAAUCCAUAUCAUAGAUCAAAUUGAAGAACAGAUCAGAAAGAAAGCAACGAAGAAAGAUAAGGAUGACUUAAUUUCAAGAGCAGAUGUAAGUAAAAAUAUAUAAGUAUAUUAUUAAGUUGCCAAUAGAACUAUAAUAUGAUUGAAAAAAUGAAGGUUUAAUCAUCCUCUAAUAUUUAUCCUGCUAAAUAGGUAAAAAAUGAGCAAUUUAAAAAAAAAUAUAUUCAUAAUAUUAGGAUAAAUAGGAAAAACAGGCUGUAGUUCUCAGAAAUCAAGGAUUUUGUUUUAUAAUAUAAAAAAAAACUUGCAUGCUUGUUUGCUCUAUACAUUGUUCCCUUUGAUUUGUUAGUCUUUUGAUGUGUACAUUUGUACAAGGUGUAAAGUAUUGUCUUUUUAACUAUAAUUUGUAUUUUUUUUUUGUAAGAAUCUUUUUUCAAGAAGCUUGUUUAAUGUAUUUUAAUAAACAUGAUCUAAGAAUAAGUGACUGUUGCAAACAAAUGUACAUGAAGGUUUCGUUUUUUCAUUUCAGGAUACAAAAGUUCACCUGACAACCAAAAGGAACUGCACACCUAGAGCCUUUAUCAUUCAAACGAAGAUUGUUACGCAAUGAAAAAUUCCUGUAUGAUAGGAGAU
rnacentral:lncRNA from 1 species